GCCACACGCUUGUUUUGUUAAGGAGAGUCCACCUAUCACCAGGAGGGACAGAAGUCAGCUCAGGAAGGGAGACCCUGCCAGGGGACUCAGCCAUGAGACUUUGCAAUUAUAAGCUAUUCCUUAAGCCACAGAAAGAAAUGAAGAAAGGAAGAGGGGAAGACAGAAAGAAAACAAUUAUCACUUGGUUUAGUGACCACGUGUGUUGAGGACAGGAAUAGAAAAAAGAAGGUACAUGUCUAAGAAGGAUUUAAAAAUGUCAAGGAAAGAACAAUGAGAUGAGAAAGAUUAAAGUCAGAGUCUUUAUUUGCUGCACCCAGGGAGAAGCCAUGACCUUGAGCAAGGAUGCGCUUUUCAGCCAGGACACUUAACAAAGAGGGCUGACAGCUGUCAGCACUUCCAGAAGCUGGUCUUUCAUUGAAGCCAUUAAAUUUCUGCCAAAUUCCAGGAAGACCUGGAAUAUGACAGUUUAUUAGAGAGUACCCUGGAAAAAAUAGCCAUGAAAGUGAAAAAAAGGAAGCAAGCUUGGACAGAAGAAAAAACUGGACUGAAAUACAAUCUCAG
ensembl:lncRNA novel transcript